rnacentral:rRNA from 1 species
AUACGUAGGGUGCAAGCGUUAUCCGGAAUUAUUGGGCGUAAAGGGCACGUAGGCGGUUCGUCGCGUCCGGUGUGAAAGUCCAUCGCUUAACGGUGGAUCCGCGCCGGGUACGGGCGGGCUUGAGUGCGGUAGGGGAGACUGGAAUUCCCGGUGUAACGGUGGAAUGUGUAGAUAUCGGGAAGAACACCAAUGGCGAAGGCAGGUCUCUGGGCCGUUACUGACGCUGAGGAGCGAAAGCGUGGGGAGCGAACAGGAUUAGAUACCCUGGUAGUCCACGCCGUAAACGGUGGAUGCUGGAUGUGGGGCCCGUUCCACGGGUUCCGUGUCGGAGCUAACGCGUUAAGCAUCCCGCCUGGGGAGUACGGCCGCAAGGCUAAAACUCAAAGAAAUUGACGGGGGCCCGCACAAGCGGCGGAGCAUGCGGAUUAAUUCGAUGCAACGCGAAGAACCUUACCUGGGCUUGACAUGUUCCCGACGGUCGUAGAGAUACGGCUUCCCUUCGGGGCGGGUUCACAGGUGGUGCAUGGUCGUCGUCAGCUCGUGUCGUGAGAUGUUGGGUUAAGUCCCGCAACGAGCGCAACCCUCGCCCCGUGUUGCCAGCGGAUUAUGCCGGGAACUCACGGGGGACCGCCGGGGUUAACUCGGAGGAAGGUGGGGAUGACGUCAGAUCAUCAUGCCCCUUACGUCCAGGGCUUCACGCAUGCUACAAUGGCCGGUACAACGGGAUGCGACGCGGCGACGCGGAGCGGAUCCCUGAAAACCGGUCUCAGUUCGGAUCGCAGUCUGCAACUCGACUGCGUGAAGGCGGAGUCGCUAGUAAUCGCGAAUCAGCAACGUCGCGGUGAAUGCGUUCCCGGGCCUUGUACACACCGCCCGUCAAGUCAUGAAAGUGGGCAGCACCCGAAGCCGGUGGCCUAACCCCUUGUGGGAUGGAGCCGUCUAAGGUGAGGCUCGUGAUUGGGACU